rnacentral:lncRNA from 1 species
GCAGGUUCGGCGACACCUUUGGCGGCCGAAACUCCCAGACAGAGGCGAAACUCAUGCAUGUUCAGCGGCACCUUCGGCGGCCGAAAGUCCCAGACAGAGACGAAAGUCUCCUUUCGGGGGCAAGCUUCGGCAGCCGAAGGCUACCUCCAGAAGCAUGUUCGGCGGCCGAAAGUUCCUUCGGCUGCCGAACCUGGUUUCGCCCAGAAUGGCAGAAACUCAGCUCCCCUAUGCAU